GCUGUUUUUUUCAGCAGGGUUAUCAACAUUAGGGUUACUUAACGUGGUCAUUGCUUUAUUGUGUGAGCUUAAUAUAGUCUAAAGUUUUAAUAUUUGUCUUAUAAUAUUUGUAAGAAAAUAGGAAUCCCCAUUAUCGGGGUACACUAUUUAAGCCUUAUAUUAGAGCUAAUUUACACUACAUAAUAAACAUUUUCUGUUCUCCCUGCAGAUCCUGUCAAUCGAAUCACCUGUUACAACUUAGAUUUAACGUUGCUUAUUUUAUAAACCCAAAUGCAAUUUUAAGAGCAAUCCACCCUCUCUUUCUUUUUCAUUUUCUGUCUAUUUCUUGCAACCUAUCUCUACAUACUGCAUCUGUUGUACCUGUCUGUCCAGCUGUGUGUUUGUCCUUCUGUCUUUGUCUGCUUUGCAAUGGCCAACAGAUAUACCCCUGACAAACAGGAUCCCCACUACCAAGAGGGGAGGCUCAUGGCUCUUGAGCUGAACCAUGACCACAUUCUAGCUGAAGCCAAGAGAUCAGCUGUGGAGACGAAACGUUUAUGCCCUAGAAGAGACCCUUCACAGACCUCUAAAAGGAUCUUUGUUGGCUGGGGCAAGCCGAGGGGGAGGCAAGGAGGGUGACGCCAAGCCUCAGCUACAGGUGAAUUUUACAGGGUUGAGUGCUUCCUGUCAUCCAGUGUGGAGAUUUCACCUAACUGUACCCUCAGCAAAACUAAAUCCUCAUGAGGAAUUUGGUGCAGAGAGUGGUUCUGUGGGGGGACCCUGAUGUAUUACGUCACAAAAAACAGCCACUCCACAAUAGGGAAUGUGUAAUUAAUAGGUUUUUUAAAGGCAUCCGUCCAACCAAAAACCAAGUGGGCAAGAUGCCAGACCGCUGUUGUAAACGCACAAACGUAAUAAUGCUUUCAGGCAAACCAGUCAUUUUAAUUACCAUCAAUGGUAAAACCAAUUCACAGUUUAGAUUUCCAUUUUAGAUUUGAUGUUUUUCACACUAUGUUUUGAUGUUUUCAAUAUUGUGGCAUUGUGCUUACAAUUGCAGUAAAGUCAAAGUGCAUUGUAUAGCACAUCACAAUCUGUUGCAAAGCAAUUUGGUGAAUUAGCAAAUUAUACUACUCGAGGAGUUAGGCAGAAGGAGUGCUAUACUGGGAUUAUAUAAACUUAUAAGAUGUCUGUUAAACAUUCACAAUGUGCAGAAUGAAUUAACUGUUAUAAAAUAUAGUAUGUGGUAAAUGUUUUUUUUUCCAAGGGCGUUUUGACUUGCAUCAGGAACUAUAUGUCUGUUAAACAUGCAAACAGCAAAGGACCCCAGACCUGAAAGACCUUCUGAAGAGUGGAUAUUGACCAGCUUCAAUAAUCAACACCACACUUUACAUACUGGACCUCCUGAUCUCCUUUCAAGAACUCAAGGUCAUCUCUCCAAGAUUCUCCAGACAAGCCUUCGCAAAGCUGCUGGAGCAUUGCACGAAGUGUGGAAGAAGAUCUGGAUAUAUCAACGGCGUUGCACUGCAACGCAGCUUCUUGGAGUUUUCAUACGCUUCAUUUGAAGCAGACCAGCUCUGGUGUGGUGCUCCUUUCACCUGCCCAGCCUGAACGCUAGAAUUGUUGUCUGCUUCAGCAGAUGGAAACAGAAAGCUAUAUCACUUUUGCUCAAACAGAAGACUGUGGCUUGCAAAUAUUGGCCAUUUGAAGAAAGUUGCUAGUGUCCUUCCUGAUCUUCAGGAGCUGACCUCAAUGAAACCUUUCCUUAAUGUCAUGCAUGCUUGAGCCACGCUACAACGUGUGAGAUUAAAUGAAGUGGUAGGAACCAGGAAGGAACAGGGACAACCACCGGUGAGUGGAGCAAGUGAACAGCUACCUUUCACGUUGUGCCCGUACAACCAAAUAUAUGUCCAAAGCAGCACAGGUGGACAUGCUUACAUUGCAUGCAAUGGGCUGGAACCAUAAAAAAGUAUCUCUCUACAUCAGGCACUUUCCACAAUAUAUGUGAAAGUA